AAUUACAAAAAUUGAUGCAAAUAAAAUAAAUAAAUAAAACUAAAAAUUAGAUUUUAAAAUUCCUUUCGUACUAAAUAAAAUUUGUUUUUUAUUAAGAUAGAAUCCAACCUGAUUCUCAUCGGUCUAAACUCAGAUCAUGUAGGAAUUUAAAAGUUGAACAAACUUCUUAUUUUAAUAUCUUCAUUAAAAAAGUAUCCUAAUCCAACAUCGAGGUCGCAAACUUUUUUGUCAAUAUGAUCUAUCAAAAAAUAUAACGCUGUUAUCCCUAGAGUAUUUAAUCAUAUUUUCAUUAAUAAUGGGUCAUUUUUAAAUUAAAAAGUUUUUAAUAUUUUUUAACCGCCCCAGUUAAAAUUUAAUUAAAACAAAAAAUGUAUUAUUUAAAUUUUAAAAAUUCUUAGGGUCUUCUUGUCUUUAAUUUUUAUAAUUGUUUUUACACAAAUUAAAAAAAUUUCAAUUUUUAAUUUUAAGAAAGUUGUUUUUUGAUAUUCCAUUCUCUUAGCAUUCAAUUAAAAUCUUAUUUCAAUACCUUUGUAUAGUCAAAAUACUACAGCAAUUUAAAAAAAAUUUCAUUGAGCAGGAUUUGCAUUUAUUGUUUAUCUAAAUGCGUUGUUUUUAUUAAACAGUCAAAAAAAAUAAUUGCCUAGUUCUUAAAAAUUAAAUUAAAUUAAUUUUUAAUUAAUUAUUAAUAAUUACAAAAAAAAAUUUUUUUACUAAUAUUUUCAUUUUUUUUUAAAUUUUUAAUUAAAUUUAAUUUAAAAAAAUAAAUUCUUUUAUUUCAAUUUAACUUAAUUUAUUUAUAAAAAUAAAUAGAAAAAUUUUAAUUCUUUUAUUAUUUUUUAAAAUAUUAUAAAUUUAAUAAUUUUUAGCUUAUCCCAAAAACUUUUUUUUGUAGUUUUAAAAAAUAAAUUAAUAUUUACAAAAUAAUAUUUAAUUAAUUUUUUUUAACUAGAUAUUAUAUUUUUUGAUAAGAAUUUCACCUCUAAAAUUUAUUUUAUUUUAAUAUUGAAACAUUAGAAAAAUUAAAUUUUAGCUCAAAAUAUUUCGAGAAAAAUAAAAUUUUAUUUUUUUUUAAAAACCCCUAAUGCAAAAGGUACAUUAAUUUUUCUAUUAAAUUAUAAUAAUAAAUUCCUUUUCAGUUUAUUAAAAAUAAAAUAAAAAUAAAAUAAAUUUAUUAAAUUGAUUAAAUUAUUUCAAUUUUAUUAUA
rnacentral:rRNA from 1 species